rnacentral:lncRNA from 1 species
CAAACUGGAAAAGAGGGAUAUAAAAAGGGCUAUAAAAAUGGUGUAAAUAAAAUAUCAACGGUAGGAUUUAAGAACAGAGCCGCAAAAGCUGCAGACGAUGGCUCUCCAAGAUCUGCAAUAAAUAGGUAUUAGACAAAACCUCGUUGAAGUCUUCAUGUCAGCGAUUCUUGCACCACGACCGCACCGAGAACACAUUCCCGCCGCUGGUUUGCUUGCUUUCAUCUUUCUCUUCUGGUCCACCAUGAAACAGAAACACACCAUUUUCUAUCCUUCUUCAAAUACAGAAAUCAAAGACAGUGAAUCUUGUAAUCACACCGGUUUGUGAUUAAUCGGUCCUAAAAAAGUUGUUGGUGUUUCUUGAUGAUGCAGUUAGGUUGGAGAUGUACAAAAAAACGACGUGAUAUGGCUUUAGUGAUGCACACGUGUUUGGUCUAGAAGUUAGUAAUUAAGAGUAUGCGUCGGGACAUUAUAUUAUAUAGAGAAUUGUAUGAUAUUUUAACGAUUUUUUGACAGUACACAUACGUACAACCUCCAACUCCUAACCGAAUUCAUCAUUUUAUUUUAUUAGUAGGGAGUACGCGAUUCGCGCAGAAUAUUAUUUUAUUGUUGUUACGUAUGGUUUUUGAAUGAUGUAAUUAUAUGGUCAUUAUUUAUUUGUGAAGAGCAUGAUUUAGUAUUUUAUUGUGUGAUGUAGUAUUAGGUUAUAGGUUAAUAUAUUAUGUGUUUGUCUUUUCAAUAACGUGUUGUUGUGUGUAUAGUAAUAUGUUAGACCAUCUCCAACUCAUCUCUAUAAUAGAGAUCUUUAAAAUAGAGGCAAAAAUAGAGGUGGUGUUUUUGCUCCAAUGUGUUCCUCUAUAAUAGAGGAAUGCUAUAUUUGCCUCUAUAAAUAGAGGAAAGCUUUUUUUUCUUCUAUAUUUAAGGGAAAAAAUAGCAUUCCUCUAUUUAUAAAGGUAAAUAUAGCAUUCCUCUAUUAUAGAGGAACACAUUGGAGAAAAAACACUAUCUCUAUUUUUUCCUCUAUUUUAAAAAUCUCUAUUAUAGAGAUGGGUUGGAGAUGCUCUUAGUGGUGAAAUGAGCUUCUGAUGUAAAGCAUCUUGAAUUUCAAUAAAUUUUCAUUUAAGCAUUUAUUGAUUCUAACAUUAACGGUUCAAGCGUCAACAUUGUAUUUAAUAUUUUCACAUUUUUGAACGCUGUUAUUUUUGUUAACAACGUCGAUGAUGCCUCACUGGAUUAAUUUCUGUUGUUACGUGAAGAUGAAGGCACUAUACGUCACUGAUGAAUCAGUGGGAUUUUGGCACGUGGCCGUGGGGAAAUAUAGUUGGAGGUUGAGUAUGUUUUUUGUUUGUCUUCCUUACCGGAAAUUAAUUAUGGGUCUUGCGGAAGACAUAAAUGGGCCUAAAUAUAUUCAAUUUGCAUUCUUUAAAAGUUGGGCUAGCUUAUUGUAAGCCCAAAGUCUUAGUUUUCAGGAGAUUUUUCCAAGAUUUCACCGAAGAUAUAAUUUCAAGGUUAUGAAUGGUUACCUCGUUCAAAGUCAAACGGAUUGAGCAUAAUAAAACGACAGAACAAAUAUGUAAUGUGUAUGUUUUGUUUUGUAGGCUCUGCCCUACACUAUAAUAAUUAGGAACGUAAUUAUGUACUUACAUGCACGAUUGAUAAAAAUAAAAUGAUCACUUAUACUCUACAGAACAUCAUAAUGCUCUUGAAAAAAAAAAAAAACAUCAUAAUGCUCUUGAAGCAAAAUUAUCACAACUCACAAGUAGUUAUGUACUUAUUUGCACGAUUAAUCAAAACAGAUUGGUAACUUAUAUAGGUAUUUGACUAUUGGAUAAUUCUGACGUCAAGACAAGCAAGUGUUAGGUAAUAAUAAUUUAUAUACAAAUGGCAGAUAAAUGAUAAAAUAAGUCGAGAGAGAGUAGAGCUACAAGUCAACGACGUGUUAGGUCGCGCUGCGCGCGUCUACCAACUAAUCAGGUUGCUACUUCGUUAACUAUUUUCUUGACGACUCUCGGGCCGUUCGUUUCUCCAAUUCAAUGAACCAUCUGGAUGAAGAUGAGAGUUUUGUUCGUUUAGGCAUUAAAAGUACAAGUCAUCUGGAUGGUUCAUCCGAAUGAAUUUUAAAAAUUUAGGCUUAAUUUUGAAAAUCAGCUGGCUGAUCCAAAUUGAAUCAUCUGGAUGGAGAUGAGUUUGUCAAAAUGGUAUAAUGUUUAUUAUACUCUCAUGUAAUUAACAAAUUACAAACUUAAACCUAAUAUCAUUUUGUCACUCCUGAAAAAUGAAAAAUGACAAAACCACAAAAACGCAUUUUCCCACCAAAACCACAAAACGCAUUUUUCCGCCAAAACCACAAUACACAAUUUUAGCUAAAAUCGUAAUUUUCUCGUAAAAAAUGAACUUUAUCGCCAAAGCAGAUUUUUCCAGUCAAAAUCACAAAAAUGCACUUUCACAUCAAAACAUGUUUCUUCGCAAAAACUGCAAAACACGUUUUUCCGUCAAAACCGCAAAAACGUGUUUUUCCUCCAAAACCGCAAAAACACGUUUUCCCGUCAAAACUGUAAAAACACGAAUUCUUACAAAAACGUUUUUCCCGCCAAAAUCACAAAAUGUAUUUUCUCACAAAACCGUAAAAAUAUGUUCUCCCGCCAAAACCGUAAAAUUGCGUUUUUCGGCAAAACUGCGAAAAACACGUUUCCCCGCCAAAACCGCAAAACGUGUUUUCCUGCCAAAACCGUAAAAACACGUUUUCUCGCCAAAACCAUAAAACGCAUUUUUCCGCCAAAAUUGUAAAAUUACGUUUUCCCACCAAAACCGCAAAAAUGUGGUUUCUCGCCAAAACCAUAAAAGCGCAUUUUCCUGCCAAAACCGUAAAAGCGCAUUUUCCUGCCAAAAUCGUAAAAACAUGGUUUCUCGCCAAAACCGCAAAAAUGUAUUUUUCCGCCAAAACUGUAAAAUUACGUUUUCCCGCCAAAAUCGUGAAAAUGCGUUUUCCCACCAAAAUCACAAAAACGUAUUUUCCGCCAAAAUCGCAAAACGUGUUUUCCCGCCAAAACCUUAAAAACGUGUUUUCCCGCCAAAAUCACAAAAAUAUAUUUUCCUCUGAAACUGCAAAAUUUGAGUCCAUGAUGCUCUUACCAUUGAUUUCAUCUUUCAAAUUUUAGGUUUAUAAAAUUUUGAGUUUCCACUUUGAAUUUCUACUUUGAGUUGUUUAGAAGUUUAUUCAAAUUUGAGUUUGUAUUAUGAGUUUUAUUAAAAGUUAUAGUUGUAGUUUAUUUUAAUGCAAAUUUAAAUAAAAAUAAAUAAAUUUAUAUGAAAUAAAAAUUUAUAAAUGUCAAAAUGCUAAUUUUAAAAUAAUUUCAGUGUAAAUAUAUUUUAGACUAAAUAAAAAAAUUAGUAUAGUUAAAAUUAAUAUCAAACAUAUGAUUAGAUCAAAUAAGGGUAUAUUUGUAAUUUUUUUAUUACACUCAUCUGGAUGGAAAUGAAAAAUAAGAAACGAACAUAAAAUCCAUCCAAAUGACUCAUUUAGAUGGCUCAUCUGGAUAGAGAAACGAACAGCUCCUAAAAUCUGAAUGGAUCAUAUAGAUGGAUCACAUAUAUGGAGCAGAUGGAUGGAGAUGACAGAUGGAGAAACGAACAAGCCCUAAAUGGAAUCACUUAACAUGACUCGUGUGUAACCCUAGUUAUAUCUCGCAACCUCUCCUUUCUAUAGACAACACUAAGCAGAAGAUAAUGAAGUGAAAAAGAAACAAUGGAGACAAUCUCAGCCCCGGACGAUAUCCCCAUCGUCGAUCUAAGUAACCCAAACGAAGACCUGGUGGCGCUUCAUAGAUCCUAAAAAACUAAACUUCUAAUUAAUAUAACUUCUCUACUUGUUGACCCUCCCGACCGCAUAUAAUUGUCGUAUUAAACUCGUUCGACCGAUCGAGAAGAGUCAUAGGGCCAAUCCACUUGUCACUAGUCAGUUUUAAGUUGGAAACGCCUUUCCAUAGACACAUCAAUAAGCAGAAGGGAGUGAAGCUAGUGAAAAGAAACAAUGGAGACAAUCUCAGCCUUGGACGAUAUCCCGGUCAUCGAUCUAAGUAACCCAAACGAAGACCUGGUGGCGCGUGCGGUGGUGAAAGCCAGCGAAGAGUGGGGCAUUUUCCACGUUGUUAACCAUUGGAUCCCCCCGGAGCUGAUAGGGCAGCUAAAGGAAGUUGGAACAGAGUUCUUCCAGCUUCCGGAGUCGGAGAAGAAAGCCCUAGCUAGCGAAGCCAAAAGACUCCAGGAACAUGGAAGGUUACGUAGCAAAUUUAAAUGGCUGGGCUGAUCAUCUCUUCCACAGGAUAUGGCCACCGUCGAGAGUCAACCACAGAUUCUGGCCUAAUAACAUUCAAGAUUACAGGGAGGUGAACGAGGAGUACGCAAAGGAGAUAAAUAAUCUGUCGGAGAAAAUCCUUGGGUGGUUGUCCGAAGGAUUCGGGUUACGUCGUGAGGCAUUGAAGGAAGAUAUUGGGGGAGAAACGGUGGAGUAUCUGAUGAAGGUCGUCUUCUAUUGGCCGUGUCAAGAUCAGGAUGUGAAGUAUGAACUCCGCAUCAUACUGAUCCCAGUGGGAUCACGUUCUUAAAUUCGUUGAGAACACCUAUGUUCUAGCCGAAAACAAAAGAAUAAAGAGAAAUCUCUUAACUUUUAUUAAUCAAAUCAUAAACUCCAUACAAACUUAAAGCCUAGACGGCUAUAUAUAAUAAAACCAUAAAACCCUAAAACAAUAAAAAUAACUAUCAAAAUUAAUAUAAUUAAUAAAAUAAACAAUAAGAUAUUUGGAAAUAUUCCAAAUAUUUAUCUGCAUCAUUUCUUCAAAACGUCAUCUAUGAUCGAUAUGGUGAGGAUAUGAUGAUGGUCGAGCCAAUUGAUUUUGUAUUGAGCAAAUAUGCGUUCAAGACGUCAGACGCACACGCAAGAGAUUUCUUUAGUGUUGUCAAAAGUGGAGCAUCAAAGUCUGAAGAAGUUAAUUGGUAUGUACUAGACGAUUUAUAUCACGUGGCUACUCUUUCAUCAAUCCUUGCAGUGAAGUACUUCUCCAAAAGAUAAUAAUUCCUCUCGUGGUAGACAGCCGCUUGGAACUAGGUAAUUUACUUUUUGAAGAUUAUAAUGCUAAUUGGGCUUUUGAGAAAAUCAGCCCAAUAAAAUCUUCAAAACGUCAGCGUAAUGCGGAAGAGCAUAAGGAUUUAAGAUCAUUCAAUCUCACGUUGACGUUGUUCAAGCUUGAAACAAAGUUUGAUGUUCGAGAUCGGAAGUGGGCAAUUUUCAUCGUUUAGCAGUUAAGAUUCGAGGACGAAUCUUUCCAACCCGGAGAGAAUGAUGCAGAAAAGAUAAAUAUCUUAUUUAUUUAGUGUUUUAUUUAGAGUUUAUUUAUUAUUAAGAUAAAUUUUCUCUAAUGUUUUAGGGUUUUUAUGUUUUCUUAUAUAUAGUCUUUGAGGCUAUGGUUUUAUGUAAUUUAUGAGUUGAUAAUUUGAUUAAUAAAAAUUAAAAGUUCUCUCUUUGUUCCUUGUUUUCGGUAGAUCAUUGGUGAUCUCAACGAAUUUAAGAAAACAUUGAUCUUAGGCAUUCUUAGAAUAAAUAAGAUCUUUGUGAUUAUUCUAGUUUUUCGGGUAUUCUCAAAAUCAACGGAUCUCUAGUUCUAUAGCUUCUGCUACGUCAAUCACUGAGCUUCUAAUAGUGUGAACGAUCCUCAACACCAACCGAGAAACUUGCUUGUGACUACACCCUUCAAAUUCCGAUGUAAUAUUUUUUUUAGUGAAACAUAGUUACUUCCCUUCAUAAGUUGCCUAGUACUUGUAAGUGGAACUAGUAGUUAUUACAAUUGUAGAAUUGACGUCUGAAUAUGAAUGACCAUGCAUAUGUUUGCAGCCUACUUGACAAAAAUUCAAAGCCGGAUUUGGGGACAGCCGGAUAAAACAUUGGUCUCGACUCCAAAAUUUUUGGACAAAUUUUAUAUAGAUAAAGGCCCCAAAUUAUGAAAACAAUUUUUUUUUAUAAAAUUCUUUAAAAAAAUAUUUCAAGCCCCCAAAAUUUCAGAUCCGGCUAUGUAAAAAUUAUAUUUAAACUAAAUACCCCAGUUAAAUGUUUUUGAUAAGCAACAUUUACUUCAAACAGACAAAAUAAUAGCAAUUGUAUUUUUUUUCUUUCUGAAACUUAACAAGGACAAACUUCCCUGCAGCUCUGUUUUGAAUUUCUUGCUUGUCAGAAAACAGUGGAGGUGAAGUUUUUCUUCAUUAAAUGGUGAUAUGUCAUUAUGAUAACUGCAGCAUGUUUUGAGGACAAUGCAAACUUCACCGCUGCUAUUCUUAUAAGUUAAUUGAUUAAGGAAACUAUUUAUGAAUUUUAUGACGACUUCUUAAAGGAUCGAUUCUGCGGCCUUAUUGGUAUCAGGUAAUGGGGUUAAUCCAGGAGGUCUCAAUUCACUGUUUCUCAUCAGUAAUCCAUUAUUUUGCCCAGCUAGCAAUAGACUCAUCCACAGACUUAUAGUCUUGGAUUCUGGGAUUCCUCCAAUCAAAUAGGACCUUUGGUAAUAACACCGUUCUUUGGUGAUCAUAUCUCGAUUUUUUUAACUCUGUCCAAAGGUCUAGAGGAUUCUCUAUAGUCAGAUACUGAUCUUUGAGACUCUUAAUAAGAUGAUGGCUAAUAAUUAAUAUUGCCAUGUAUCAAUCUUUCUCAUUUGGCAUUAUCGCCUUUUGUGAUUCAUUCACCAAGUCCUUUGACUUUAGGAUAAACUCAGUAUCCAGUGCUCAUUUCAAAUAAUUAUCUCCUGAGAGAUUUAGGGCAGCAAAAUCCAAGUUGAUUUUCGACAUCUCAAAUCAUAUAUCAAUCAAUUUUAGAUCUCAUAAAAUAUUUAACAUACGGCCAUAAACAAGACAUGCUAUCAAGUCAAUACAUUUCUAAUAAGCAAACAAGCCACACGGCCAAAGGUGAUAUAAUGCAAUAAGGCCACACGGCCAAAGUGAUACAUGAUGCAUAAUAAGUCACACAGAUUUAUCAAGCAAGGGUAUCGACCAAACAAACAAUUUCUAUAUGUUUUCAUGCGGCCAUAUGGUUAUAAUGCAAACCUAGAAUACUGAUUCUAUAUGUACAAAAAUAGAAUUAUGGAACCUUAAUUUAAAACAAUCAGAUCAUGCAAAGGUGAUAAUAAUCAGAUCAUGCGCAUAAUAUAAACAUGUUGGUCAGAAUGAUAUAUGAUGCAAACUGGCCAUAUAGAGAAUUGUAUAUGUGCAAGGGUAAUAUUAAAACAUUCAUUCUUAGCAAUCGGAUUCUAUAUGUGCAAGGGUAAUAUUAAAACAUUCAAUCAAGGUUUAGCAAUUAAUCAAUCAGUUUCAGGUAUGAGAUUUAGCUAGACUAACAAUCAGAUUCAACUAGGUUUUAUCAAGACUAGCAAUUAGGGUUUUAUCAAUCAAUCAGCUUCUAGCAAAUAAUCUUAAACCUCAGAACAGUUGAUUAUAUCAUGAAACUAUCAACCUAGUAUAAUAUGAACCUCAAAACAUUCAAUUUGGAUUAUGCAAUACACGGAUUCUAUUUUAGGGUUUAUCAAUUCGAAUUAGGGUUUAUAUUAUAACAGAUUCUAACAUGCAAUAUUAAACCUCAAAUCAUUCAAUCAAGUUAUAAAAAUUAUCAAUCCUAACUCACACGGAUUUAAACCUCAAAGAAACAUUCAAUCAAUCAAAUAAAACAAUCCAUGCACUUAUAUAGGAAAUUACACCGUCGUAGAUAAAUGGAAAGAUUAUAAAUCAUAAUCUUGGUUAUGAGCCAUCCACGAUCUGGUUCAUAACAAAAUUCUCAUUUUUGAUACAAUAUUACCAUUAUACGACAAUAUAAGCCCAUUGUAAAACCCAGGCCAAACUGGAAAAGAGGGAUAUAAAAAGGGCUAUAAAAAUGGUGUAAAUAAAAUAUCAACGGUAGGAUUUAAGAACAGAGCCGCAAAAGCUGCAGACGAUGGCUCUCCAAGAUCUGCAAUAAAUAGGUAUUAGACAAAACCUCGUUGAAGUCUUCAUGUCAGCGAUUCUUGCACCACGACCGCACCGAGAACACAUUCCCGCCGCUGGUUUGCUUGCUUUCAUCUUUCUCUUCUGGUCCACCAUGAAACA